rnacentral:rRNA from 1 species
CGGGUGAGUAAUGUCUGGGAAACUGCCUGAUGGAGGGGGAUAACUACUGGAAACGGUAGCUAAUACCGCAUAACGUCGCAAGACCAAAGUGGGGGACCUUCGGGCCUCAUGCCAUCAGAUGUGCCCAGAUGGGAUUAGCUAGUAGGUGGGGUAAUGGCUCACCUAGGCGACGAUCCCUAGCUGGUCUGAGAGGAUGACCAGCCACACUGGAACUGAGACACGGUCCAGACUCCUACGGGAGGCAGCAGUGGGGAAUAUUGCACAAUGGGCGCAAGCCUGAUGCAGCCAUGCCGCGUGUGUGAAGAAGGC